GUCACUGUGAGGAAUAAACAAGCGGAGGAAUGUAAUCUUUAUUUUGACCAGAUGUCAGCUGACUUCCUCAGUCUCUGUGAGUUCUUUGCAGCAGUUAAUUUGAAAGCGCUGCGUUUCCUGCAUGUCUCGUGUGUUGGUUUGACUGUUUAUCCGCAGUGCUUGUAGGAGAAUUACUUUACAGCAGGUUGAUACUUCCAGCUGAGAGUGAAAAGUGUGGACAGCCAUUUGGACCACACAGCCAUUUGGCCCACACAGCCAUGUUUUCCACAGCCUGUAUUAACAUCGUGAUGGCGGUAGCUAUGUCUUCGUUUAUAGCGGUGUCUGCUGUGUUGUGUGUGGUCCCUCCUGAGGAUCGUUUGGUGCUGUGCGCCCUCUGCCCUCGCCGUCGGACGUGCCUGCAUAGUGCGCAGGGUGUGCGUGAGUCUUCUUCACCCGGCACUGAGGCCAUAGUUAGCGCCUUUCCUUCUCCUCUGGCGCUCCGCGGGGGUUGCAUGCUCCGCCAGUGACAUGGUCCACCAGCUGAGCGUUCUGUAAGACAGCGACUCGCCGUCUCCAGCCCCGGUGCAGUCGCUCCGUCUCUUCUCCGUUUCUGAGGACUGGUAGUGUUGGAAGCAGUUCCUACCGAUGCCGUGAUGUGAUGCAGUUUCGGGUCCCUCACUCCACUACCACUCCCGUACCACUCUGAUUGAUUUUGUUUUUUUUAUUUAGUUCAUCGUUCUUCCCUUAUGUUGAAUUUGUUGAUUGUAAAUUGUUUCUGUGGUUGUUUAUUUAGUUGGGGGUUAAGCUUGUGUUAUUCUCAGUUUGUUCUUUUUUUUGUUUGUUUGUUUGUAUAUUUGUUUAUUUUGUUCUAAUUAAUGAUUUAGUUGGCCAGUGGGGUUCUUCUUAUUUUGUGGUUUGGUGUGGGUGUGAGUGUAUUGUAUUUUUCUGUCCGCCUGAGUGUCCCCUCUUUUUCAUAUGCAGUGUUAUAAUUUGGUUUGUUUCUUUUUCAGGGCAGGAGUGGAGCGGCAGACAUCCCUUGUGGUGGUUUUCCCUUCACUCCUUAUCUUCAGAGCUCAACGUGUAUUGAAAUACAACCCGAUUGAAGCCUGGGAAAAAGUGCUGAAGUAUUCCCAGAGCAGCUUCCUUCCUCAGGCUGUGUGACUACUCAACUCAUCCUCCACCCUUCAGCUCUGAAAAGUUGUGUGUGGUUAUUCAUUUAUCAGUCGAUAGAUGCUAUGCUGGAUGUGCAGCGUGGUGAACUGUAAUUUCAGCAUUGUUAUACAGUGACUCAGGAAGUUGUUUUUGUGCAACUGUUGCUGUCAUUGCUAUCACAGGGUUGCACAAGUGUGCUGUUAUUAAUGCUGUAAUAAUGUCUUGUCUGUCAGAUUUAUUAAGGAAGUGACACUCACUCACACGGUUUUACUCAUCGGUCAUGAAUACAUCAACAGCCGAACUGUGUGCAUAACCGAGCACGUACAGGUUUGACAGUUUUAAUCUCCCUGAUCUAACAUUUUAAAUGUCACCUGUGAGAGACUAGAAUAUUAAAUCACAUAAUGUUGUAAUGAAGCCCAAUUCCCAGUGUAUACAUGGCAUUCAGAUUGUAUCUGAUCCUUCCUGUUAGUCAUUUUUGCAAGUUUCUAGUAGUGAAUUAAGCAAAAGGACGACACAGACCAUGACCAUGCAAAUAAGUCAAAGCUUGUCAGAUGGGGGACUUUUAAUAACUCAGUGAGUGUCUUUUCUUCACAGAUGCUCAGGCUUUUAGUUAAGGUCUAUUAAUUUAAGGUUAAUUUCUCCCUGUGGUUUUGUGUGGUUGAAGGUGUGUCUCUGUACUGCAUUUGAUGUUCAUUUACAAACUUUUCAUGCUUUGCUGUGGGUGAUUUAUGGUAUUUAAUUGAGUUGUGGAUUUCCUCCUGUGAAACUGUGCUACCAACACACAUAGUGCACGAGUGGCAUGUGAGUGGGUGGAUACAGACAUUCACUGCCUGUGGUUUACCAUCAAUGAGAUUCAUUUGCAUCUCUCUCUUUCGCAUCAUACUAUUUCUUGAAACUGCCUUUUCUCCAAAUUACUGUCACUGUGUUUUCAUCUAUCAGCGCUGUGUCCGUUGUUGACUGUUUUCACCACCUCUGGUGAACUUUUUCCAGUAACGUUGCAUCGAAAGAGCAACAAGACCCAAGCAGCAACAGAGUGGAUAGUCGUGUUGGAUAUUAUGAAAAAGGUUAAUGGAAAAAAAGGUUAAUUUUUAAAGGAAUUGUCCACCCAAAAUUGAAAAUUCAGUAAACGUCUGACUCCUGUUGUGAUAAAAAUCGGGAUUAAGCUUCUUAAUCCACAAUGUACAUCUGGAGCUUUACAGCAAAAGCUCCUUUCAGCAACACUAAAAAUGAUGGAAGAAGCUGGCAACUUGCUUUAAAAUGUAAAAUAAAUAACCAAAAGUUUUUUAAAAAAUAGAUCCAUACUGUUUGUCUGGUAGAAUCUAAGACUCCAGAAGUCCUGAGAUACCAAACUGAUUCAAGCACCUUAUUUACACUGCAUGUACCCUUUUGAGCUUGCUUACCCAUUUCAGAUGGGAGACGCUAAUGCUUUUAGAUUAGUGUGGCAGUGGCUACUUAGUGACUACAUUUACACCCUUUAUGACGUCCUCAGUAACAAGCUUCUUCUUCAGAAAUGCUGAGUCACACCUUGGCAGCAGAAUUCCUCUGAGAGCUUUGUUUUGUUUCAGGAAGCUGUGGUAUUUUCAUACACAGAUUACUGUGUACGCAAAGUGGGCACAUGCCCAGGGCCUCAGAGCCACCAGAGGCCUUUAGCCUUACGAUUCACUUCUGUUUUUAUGAAUGAAGUAUUAGGCUUUUAAAAGAUUGGAGUAAAUGGGAUUUUGAAUGUGCAGCAUCAUCAUGAAAUAUUGAAACACGUAAUGCUGUAAUGACGUGAGCUGUACGUUAAGUGUGAAAGAUGCCACUUUGUCCCAAUAAACACGUUGUCUUUUCACAUCAUCACCUGAACAUGCCUGCAUUGUGGGUGGUUUGAUGGAAAAUAAAGUGUGUGUUUUGGCUUCUGAAGAUAUAUGUACAUGGCAGGCAUACUGCUGUGCUGCCAAACUCCGUGUACUUAUGGAGGGCACACACAAUGCACCUGUACUACUUUUGUGUGUGUGUACAGAGGUGGGGGUAGAUGAUAAUCUGUGACAAUGUCCAUGGGUGUGUGUGAAUGUCUGCAUGUUGGGAGACACACACACAUACAGUAUCAGGUUUAUUGUGUCAGGAUUUCCUAUGAGGGGAAACAAUCACUCACUGCCAGGCAGCAGUGUGCAGGCAGCAGUGUGCUCUAUUGCAAUAUGAUCGCCAACCCUUGAGAUAAAGAUCUUGUAUUUAGGCUUCCUAUUACACUUGAUAAAUUGAGACAUUUAAGCAUUUAAGUGACCCCUGAUUAAUCGAUAUGCUUUGUCUUCAUUCCCAUACGCUGCAGCACAGUACACAUAACCAAGCACAGCUAAUAAAGUCCGAGAGUCUAAGAGACACCAGUUUCCUCAGUUUUUUACUUAGCUUACUUCUCUGGAAUUUGGGAUAAAAGUCAGUAAAAUGUCUUUUGUUUUAAGCACACUCAACAGUUGGGAUAUUCAUCACAAUAACUAUUUCACUUGGUGGUGACUGAGAUGUGUCUUACAGCUGAAACAAAUUACGGCCUUUAAGUUUAAAGUGCGUAUAUAUUUAUAGUUUUAGCUAUGUUACGGGCUCGCUGGUGUUUAUUUACGGUCUCCUUAUCAGUCUGCUGAAUUUGUAUCUGAUGAGAUAGCUUUUGUAGAGCGGCUGAGAAUGAAGAAUCAGCCAUCAGUCUAACACAGCACAAGCUUUGCAUUAAGGCCAUGUUGUAUUUCAGGAAGUCUGCACUACAUGAAAAAUGUUUUUGUUCUUUUCAUUUUGUGAUUUUGAAAAAGUCUGAAUGUAUGAAAGCCUGAACGACUGGGAGGGUAAACGCUGUUGUGCUCAUGUUCUGUGGCUGCUGCGAGGCAAACAGCUGCAGGACGUUUAUAGUGAACUUUAGUGUACUUGAAGGACGCCGCUGUCCUCGCUUUCGUACACGAUUAGCACACGAGAAUUUAGAGAAUUUCCCUUUUCCUGCGUACUGCAUCCGUCCACUCCCUCAAGUUACUGUUUCACAUUGUGAGGUUAAGCUGUGGUUUAACAAUCAGAUGAGUGUGAUUCAUCUCCUUAAUCUCCUGCUUUGUCAAAGUGACAGUCCUAUAAAUAGCUGAUACUGUGUUUACACACUUCGUAGCGCACUUCAGGCCUUUGAGAGGUUUGCAUAUUGAGGGAAAUGGACCUUGAAUUACCUCCUUGCACUUGUGUGCCACUCAAGUUACAGUUUACAUGCGUAUCUGCCCAGACUGUAGUGACUAAUGGAGAGCUUCAUCACGUGGUUCAACAACAAUCACCUGAAGCUCAAUAUCAUCUAAACCAGUGAGUUUAUGUGGACUGCAGUGAUUCAAGUGCGGCUGUUGCUGCAAAGAGGCUCCAAAAUCUUAAAUUAUGACACUUCAAACACAGCACAUAAGGUCCGUACAGUCAGCAUGGAUUCAAGUCAGACACACAAGAUUAGUGUCAUCAGUUCAUAUGUUCAUUCAUCAUCAGGUCUGACAAACAACCUUUCACGCUCUCAUUCACACCUGAAGGCAUUUUUGAGUCUGAAUGCUGGAACGCCCAAAGGCAAAACCCACCACCAGUAAUUCCUGACCAAAAGUGAAACAUGGUCACAAUCUGAGCUUCUGUUCCUGAGUUAUGAAUUAUGUGGUUUGCUGUGGUUUCAUUUCCUCCUCUAAAACCCCGUUUUGCAAACCUACGGCACAAAAAAGCCUGCUGAUGUGCCCUUGAGGAGGGCACUUGACCCCCAAUUUGCUCCCCGGGAGCUGGAUGCUGCCCACUGCUCCUGUG